UGUGUGUUAGUGGAAGCGUCUGGAAAGGCGCGCGAUACAGGGUGACAGCCCCGUACACAAAAAUGCACAUGCUGUGAGCUCGAUGAGUAGGGCGGGACACGUGGUAUCCUGUCUGAAUAUGGGGGGACCAUCCUCCAAGGCUAAAUACUCCUGACUGACCGAUAGUGAACCAGUACCGUGAGGGAAAGGCGAAAAGAACCCCGGCGAGGGGAGUGAAAAAGAACCUGAAACCGUGUACGUACAAGCAGUGGGAGCACGCUUAGGCGUGUGACUGCGUACCUUUUGUAUAAUGGGUCAGCGACUUAUAUUCUGUAGCAAGGUUAACCGAAUAGGGGAGCCGAAGGGAAACCGAGUCUUAACUGGGCGUUAAGUUGCAGGGUAUAGACCCGAAACCCGGUGAUCUAGCCAUGGGCAGGUUGAAGGUUGGGUAACACUAACUGGAGGACCGAACCGACUAAUGUUGAAAAAUUAGCGGAUGACUUGUGGCUGGGGGUGAAAGGCCAAUCAAACCGGGAGAUAGCUGGUUCUCCCCGAAAGCUAUUUAGGUAGCGCCUCGUGAAUUCAUCUCCGGGGGUAGAGCACUGUUUCGGCAAGGGGGUCAUCCCGA
rnacentral:rRNA from 2 species